rnacentral:lncRNA from 1 species
GUUAACAUUACAUGAACAGAAAUAAACACAAGGAUAUACAUUAGGAGUUCAACAGAAGAAUAAUAUGAUUAAGCAGCAAAUGAAUGUUUCAUUAUAACCUUCAGCCUGGGUGAGGUACUUUGCCUGCUGAUAGGGUCAAAAAAUUUAAGCUCUCAUAUCUAAAUGAAACUGAUAUGUCAAAACCCAACCCUGAUCAGUCUUGCUCAAUGCUCCAUUUCAAGUACAAAGUCUGAACUUGAAAUCACAACAUAUUCCAGAAGAGAGUUGAAAAUUAUUGCAUUUAAGCUGAGUCUGACUAUAAUAUGUGGGCCACAAGUUACUGUUAUGAGUUGUGGCAUUUAGGGGGGGGGGGGGGAAGCACAGGAGCCAAAUAAAAUUUUACAUAACCACUCUACAAAGAAAGGUAUAACAUUUAGUGAAAAUGGAAAUUACUUUGAAAUGGAACAGAGAGGAAUGCAAAUCACUUAGCUGGAGGGAGUAAUAUGUUAAAAACAACUUGAAAUAAAAAUACAAAAUGAUGUAUCAAAUGCAAAAAGAUUACCCCAACAUUAAUUUCAAGAAGAAUGGGAAGAAAUGAAGAAAUACAACAACAAAAUCGACUUUUGUUCUUAACAAAUCACUAAAGAGACAAACAACUAGUGAUCAAGAAUAAAGAACACAAAUAGCUUAAAAAUGAACGCCUCCAAGCAUCAGCACUUAAACAUGAAACUCAGUAUGCUUUAAAGAAUUGAUUGGAACCAAAACAUUAAAUACACAACAAAAUAUAGUAUCAAAAAUCUUUUUGGGCCUACAGUGGAAAUGCUUCUCUUCUCAUAUACUUUUUCUAAUCUUGGGACAAAGGGGGCAACUUUGCACCUAAUCCCCAAAAAAAAAAUUACUAAUAAUAAUAAAAUGAGGAUAAAUCUCAAUCAAAACAUUUUACAUCAAGCUCACAUUCUCAUAAUCAUCUUAUUCAUAGUUAAUAGUGAAUUAUACAACAUAACAGAUUUAACAAGGAAAUAAGUUGAAAAGGCAAAAAUAAUACCUUAUGCAACCCAUCAACGAAGAUAUUAGCUCCUUUUCCGUACAAGCAUAUACAUUGGAAGGUAGGAACCAAGGACAAAUCACAUCACAAACCACACUAAACUUUUCAGCUCAACAUAGAUGAAAGCUAAUACUUUAUAUUAAUACCCAAAAAAUUAAAAGAGAGAGCACACAGUUUCAUGUCUUUUUUGACAUCUAAUAGCGUUAUACCCACCAACUCCAGCUACCAUAAGGUUAUUCAUAACCUUUGUACGUGGCAAAGAAAAAAAUUCAAAUAGCAAAAAACCUAAGCAAUAAAUAAGUCUAGGUAAGUGAAUAGUUGAAACCAGUAGAGCCCUUGCCAUCAACAGUGGAAUCAGGGGAACUGAGUGCUGCAAGCAAAUUGAGACCUGAACAAAACCUUAAAGACGUAAAUUCUUAAGUCUUAAACUGAGUUGGAUGAAGAAACGCAUGAAUCCCCUUUCCCCCUUCAAUCUUAUAAUCUGAUGCUCUUAAGGCAUCUUAUAGCCACAAUUUGUUUUGACUUGAACCUUCAGAGCCAACUCUAACCUUCUGUAAAUUCAUUAGCGUAAACCUUCAGCAAGAAGAUACGGGUUCGUACCUAAAAUCAGAUUUUAACUUGAGGCACUGCAUGGUUUCUUCAACUAGAAUUAAAAUUGUAUUCUAAAGGAAACCAAUCCAAUGCUACAGCAUUCACGAAUAUAGUCAAACCUUAACUUCUUCCUGUCGAUGGCUUGCUAGUUGCUACUCUAAAAACAGCAGUGCAACCUAUACUUUCCAACCUUAGACAUGCUUACAGAAAAUCUUUUCCGUAAAUAAGCACAUAGUAUUAUACAAAUAAAGUAGCUGAUCACAGACUAAAGAAACUAAAAUCAAACCAGAAUCAAUUAUUCAAGCAGACAUGAAUUCUUGCAAGCCAGAAUGUACACAUAUGAGUACAAUCAAGACACUAAAUUUUCAAAAUCGAUGCAUUUUUCUUUUCAAUACCUUGUUAAGAAGAAGAACGCUUGCCUUCACAUUCAGGACUUUCAUCGAAAUUCUUAGAUGGAAAACUUUUGGUGAUGUAGCCAACCUCGAAGGUCAAAUCCUGACCGUUGGAUCUGAUUCCACUAAUCCCCCACCACCUAAAAAAAGCCCUAACACCAAUUCCAUCAAGCCCAGCAAUACGAUUCUCUACAAUUUUACCAGUGACUUUUUUAGAGUAGGUAGCCAAGUAGUUGUCCGGAGGCAGCGUGAUGCGACACGUGUCGUCUAGCUUCAGCACGAAGUCUCCCGAAGUACGGUUGAGAUCGUAAGUUUGGAGGUUGGCAGGGAGUAAGCCUACGGGGAAGCCAUACUCGAGUAGCUCCGCGUGUGCUGCGGUUAAAGUGGGGUUUGGAGAGGAAACGGCGACGUUGCGGAGGAUGCAGGCGGUAAUGGUGAAGAUCAAGAGAGGUUUCGCGGCCAUGGCUAUGGGUGGUGUGUGCCAAUUCUCACUCCUGUAAAAAGUUGUUUGCUACCUCUGGCCUGUCAACAGGAUGAUGAGGAAUUAAUGAAUGAAUAUUCUAGCCUGGCGGUUAGGUUCUGUUUGGUUUGGGUUAGGAAGAAAAACGAUUUUUUUCUUUCUUUUACCAGGGAAGAAAAAAAAGGUCAAAUUUGCUAUUACCAAUCUUUAAAAUUGAAAAUUGGUCGGGAUCAAUAGCUAAGAACUGAAACUUGUGAGUAUGAAAAUCAAUUAAAAAUCCCUGAUUUGAUCCGUGCAAAUAUAGAACUUUUAUUUUUCUUUUCCUUUAUCUAACGGUCAUUGAUAUAUUAUUCAAUAGUAUUUAGCAAUUAGAAUAAGAUACAAAAUCCGAGUAAAAAAAAAGUGGAUAUGAUUACAAUUCACUGAUUAUGUGCAUAUUAAUAUGUAAUAUCAAUGUGCAUCUACAUAAAUUAUAAUCCUAGUUAUAUAUAACAUGUGUUCAACAAGGAGAAACGUUUGAUCGCACUCAUAUGUUAAUUUGAUUCAGCAAUUAGUCACCGAAUAAAAAGCCUAUGAAGACCCAAAUGUCCAUAGUUAGUAUUUGGCAAUAAAUGGGAAAAUCUGAUGGAUGUUAAAGGGUAACAAUUAAUAUCAAAUAAAAAUCCAAUAUUGUAGAAAUAUGUAUGAAAUCUGAUGGUUAAUUCAAUAAGGUUAGAUUGAGAUAUCUAUAAUUCAUUUGGGAUGACAAGCUAAGUUUAUUACUCCAUAUGUUCUCAAACAGCAACCGAUCUUCACCUAUAAGAUGCUAUAGGCAUAUUAUUUUGCAUGCAAUGUUUUUCUUUAUCUAUUACUCAUCUCGUUGCCCACUUCUUUUUGGUCAAUUUAUAAAAAAUUUAAAAAAAAUAAAAAGAAAUGAUAAUUAUUAUUUAGACAUAAAUAUAUGUGUUUGCAAAUUCUAUAUUAAUGCCAUAUUAAGUAUUGCACUAAGUUUUUUUUUAUUUUUCGAUGGGCUUAUUUGUUUUUUUAUAGGUGAGUUUAUUUGUCAUAAAAAGCGUAAUGUUCUUACGAAAUUAUCAAAGCCAGAUAUAGGCGAGGAGAUAUAGUCCAUUUUCAUUUUUCAAGCCAUCUCAUAAUGUAAAAAUUAAUGUGUAAAAAUAAGUUCAUGGGAUCAAAAGAAGUCCCUUUAUAGAAGUAACAAAGCACUAACAAUCAUUUGCCAACGUAGUUGAUCUAAAGGGCCUUUUUUUCAUAUCUUUCUACUCAAACAAACGCUGCCUUAGAGAACUCGUCGGUAAUUUUGGAUGCUGUGCUGCCUCAAGAAGUGCGUCGGCCAUGCAUUUUUUUCCUGUGAUUACGAUGUCGUCUAAGGCAUAUGUGGGCAUGGAGUUGUACUGACAUGAAAGUGAUGGAUUUGACUGCAACGUGGUCGUGCUGAAAUAUCUACAACCCUUACGAAUAUAUAUGAAAGGUGGAGUAACGUACAGCGAGACUUCAUGAUUUACUUACAGCGAGUGAUGAACGGUCGAGAUAGCUUGACAUACAGUGACUAGAAAACGACGGCUCUAUUUGAAUUGGCCUUUUUUUUAAAUAAAAUUUUUAAAUAUAAUAUUAUAAUAAUAUACAAUAACACAAAAAACACCUCAAUUAUAUAAUAUAUCAAAAUUUUUAAAAAUUUUUUUAUAUACAUUGCUACAAUAAAUUUUUUCCAAAAAUAUAUCAAAAAAUAGUUAAUCCAAACAAAGUAUUUAAGCGAAAAAUUUUGAAGGCGCGCUAUUACACGCAAAAGACGUCCGCACCUUUUUGAACAUUAAUUUGAUGAUAACGGUUCUGCAUAAUUACGCCUAUAUAAGGAAUACUGGAACAGAGGACUGUGGGAAGGCGGAUUGAGAGCUUAAUUAAUAUGGCCCAAUAUAAAGUCUCGGCCAAGGUUGAAGAUGUUUAUUUUUUAUGACAACUACUCUUCCAAGGCCAUAUCAGGGCUUCAAACCUCUGUUUUUAAAUUUGGAUCGGACCGGCCGGUCUAACUGGUCGAACCGAAAAUUAGCCAACUAUCUGGUCCAAGUUAACCUUAAAAAUCGGAAAAAUAAGAAUUCGAUCAAAUCAAGUCAAAAAUCGGAUUUGACCGGAUUGGAAACCGAAAAAAAUGAAGAGCUGGGUCUCUUUUUUUGAAAGGUCAAAAUAUUUUUAAUAUUAUGUUUGGGUAAAAAACAAAAAAACCCCCUGUGGUAAAUCUAAUACACAGAAAAGCCUCCUAUGGUUUCAAAAUAUACAACACGAUACCUCAUGCUUUGAACUAAAUUGUAAAGGUGACGGAAUCCGUUAAACUUAACGGAAAUGACUUAUUGGAACCUUAAAAAAAAAUUUAUACCUAAUUUUUAUGAAAUAUACCUAUUCUACCCCUUAACUCUCAAUUUUCUCUAUUUAGAAAAUAAAACAAAUGAUUUUUUGAGCUGUCUUUUGCUUAAUUAUAUCAGGACAUUUUGGUCAUUUUGUCCAUUUCCGUUAUAAAACCCCAUUUAUGAAUCGACUAUCGGAUUGAACGCAUAAUUAUGUGGUAUUUCGUAAAAGGGUUUCGGUAUAAAGAAUUGGAAUAAACCUCAUAAUCAUUGUUUAAAUUACUACUAUUGGAAUUAAAAUUUUGGAGUUAUAUCUAAAAAUGCAAUGGCAUUUCCCAAUUCCCUAGUAACUUGGAAGGUUUGGAUAAAAGCUAAGCUUGAUUCCCUUUUAGAAACGAGCCCGUCUCGCUACUCGUUAAAAAAAUUAAUAUAUAAUAAAUAUAAAUGUAAUUAUAUUUAUAAUUAUUAAAUACACAUAUAAUAUAUUUAAAAUUGUCCCAAAAUCAUCCACCCAAGUUCAAAUUAACCCCCAUCAUUGUGUGCACCGGCACCAUACAGCCAAACCUGCAACUCUACGAGCCCCCAAUCCAUGGGAACACAGUUCCACUGCUUUGUGCCAGAAAAUGCGGCUUAGCUUCACUAAAAGUUAUAAAGUACUUAUAUAUUAUUUUAAAUAGCAUCUAAUAUAACAGGAUCCAUCCAUAAAACCAAUAUUAAAAUCCUAGAACAUGACAGAACAAUGCACGUCCUACUAUAAACAACUGAGAAAGCUCCAAUUACAGUGUUUCUUAGUGCAAUAAUCCACACCAUUCCCUCACUCAGGAAGCCAUUAGGAAAACAUGCUAUCAGUCAAGGGUAAUGAUGCCAACCGAUCAGCAACAUGGCUUGAAAGCUCUUCAAUCAAAACAUUCCCCAUGGGCGGCAAUGCAUCUGUCCCACAAUCAGUAAACGCACCAGCAGCAUCCACUUUCGCAAUCUGCUGCAGCAAUUUUCCCUGCACCAUAUGAAUUUGAUUCCCUUGCUCAAACACAAGAUUUUGAAUGUUUUUAAAAAAUUAUCUAUAAUUUUGCCCACUAAUUCCUGCUUCACCCUCCUUGUCAUUCUCAAGCUAGAGGAACACACAGAACUUAUUUUGAACCCUCCAACUCAACUCUUCUUCUAAUUUCUUUAAAGUGGUUUCUUCCAUGUUCCAUCUAAUGACCAAGAAUAUGCAGAAGAUGCUAUUCAACAUUUUGGCAAGAAUUGAGUAAAAGGACAUGCAUGUAUCUUGUCAUACAAAAGCUCUACCUUUUUCACCUUUUCUCUCUUACUACAUGAGGCUGCCUGAUGAUGAAAGGGUGGUUCAGUAACAGCAACAACUUCGACUUUUACAGACCAAGAAAUAAUUAGCAAAAUUCACUGUCAACGGAGUAUUCUCCUCCAUUCUUUUAGACUUUUCCGUUAGUGUGAUUCUAUCCGAUGAUUUUGCAUUGCAAUGAAUUGCAAAAAAAGAAAUCAUUGGCUCGACAAAGUAUAUGUUGAACCUUUAACUUCUACAAGAAUAUUUCCAAGAGAAAUUUGGAUUUGUGUUCCAAACAAUUUAAGGUAAAAAAAGAAAUUAGAAUAAAGAGAGACAUUCACCAGACUUUCAGAAUACAGCACUUACUAUUGCAAGGAAAAGAAAAGGAAUCCAUACACGAUCACAUAGAUGCGUGAUUUUCAGUCAACAAAGAGACAGGAUACAGACCUUGCUUGCACCCGUGUUUAUCUGUUGAGCAAGCACAUUCCGAACAGCACAAACCACGUCAGCUGCAUCUUGUGAAUAACCAUCACAGGGUUUUGCACUGUCCAGCCCAAAAAUUUUCUUCUCAGGGUCUAGAUAAUAAGGGUCCACACGCAGGCUCACUCCAAGCGCUUCAUAGCCAUUCAUCUCCUCAAUAGCUGCUCGACAAGGUUCAUCACUGUCAAAUUGAACAAAGCCAUAGUCGGCUGAUUGACCAUCAGGACGUCUUGGGAUAUUGAUAUACCAAAUCUUUCCGUAUUUGAAAAAUAGGAAUUCCAAAAGUUCAAUGUCAGCCCAGUCUGGCAAGUUCUGCAAAAAGGUGAGGAUUAAGAAAGAAAAAAAAAAGAAGGGCAAAGCAAUUCCAAGAAAUAGUUAGAAAAACUCACAAAGGCUACAAAGUUUUGAAAAAGUAAAAGAAAUAAAAAAAGGAAAGUACAGUACCCUCACAAACAACGUGUCAGGAACCAGCCCAGUCAUUUUAGUACAUGGAUGACAAUCCAUCAUUUGGAUAGGCCUUCCGUGGAGGGUAGCAGAGGCCAGCUUGUUCAUUGCCAAAUCAGCUGUCAUCAUUAUGGUAAAACAGUAGGGAAAAAAUAAUUACACAUAGCACUUUGAAGGAUUGGAAUAAAACUAAAUACUAUGACAAAAACAUGCUUUGCUAUUGCAAGCAAUCUCUUAUGCUUUUGAAGAGAAUUGCAAAAUGAAACAUAAUAUAAAAGCAAAGCACGGAUCUGAACUGCAAAUAGGAAAACAAUAUUCAAGCAAAAAAGCCAUGGUCGAUAAGCUGCAUAUGGAAUAAAUAUCUUUUUAGAGCCGUUCUUUCAUACCUUAAAUCAAUCCUUAUGUUAAAAUGGAAGAAAACAAGGAAAGUGGGAAUGCACAAGCUCCGAAGGGGAUUAAGAAGGCGAGGAUUGAACUCUCGUUCCAAUGGACCAGGCGAUAUUCAAUAAAACAGAAGCCACAUUGAACCCACCCCGCACACAAUAAUUGGUUCCCACACGUCAAAAUAAUGUUGUAACAGUUAUCAUAGAUGAUAUAUUUUGGUUAAAUGAAAAAUGCUCCUUAUACGUUAACCAUUGAUCACCUUGAUCAAGGAUCUCUCUGACAAGGGGAAAAAAAACUUCAAUUGCCAUGUGAUCCCAUUCUAAGGAGGCACCACUGAAAGAAGAAACUUAAAUAUUUCAUCACUCUUAGAUACUGAGUCAAAAGACAGACACUUGCAUGACAACAAAUUCCUGGCACGUACUAAAUCAAGGAAGAUCCCAACUACAGCUCGCCUAUAUGCAAGAAUAAUCGGGAAUCUUUUCCAAUUUCUGACUUCAAAAAGAGAAACAGGUAUUCGCUCUUCAACAAAAGUCCUAGUACGAUAAUCCAUUCCUCAAAAAUCAUAAUCUAUUUCCACAAACGACAGACAUGGUUCAACAGUUGGCAAUCACUCGUUCAUGACACAAUUGGUCUGCUUUAAAAACGCCAAAAAAAGGGGGGAAAGGGUUAAACAGAAGUUUAUCUAAAUAGAUUUGCAACAAGAGACAUGAACAAUUAGAAAUUCCUCAAUGGCCAACCUUAUAAUGAAUUUUGCAACUACAGAUAUGAAUCACACGAAGCAGCUAUAAAGCAAAGGAAAACAAUUUCAUCAACAGCUGGAUGUCAACAAAACUGACCAUGUUCUUUCUUCGCAAAGGAAACCAGGGCAUAGCGGCCAAUUAUGGAGUCACAGAGAAUCUCAGUCCUAAUCGCGACACACACGCGGAAGAGGCGAUGAACAUCCGCUCCCGUCACGGUAUCGGCCAAAGUCCAAACAUAAAGCAUCGGCAGCCCAGAACCAGCCGAUCGAAGACUACUCAUCUUCUGCUGCACUCGAUCUCCUCCCCGAUAUCUACUCGGUUGGUUUGUGUACUCGUUUUGAACCAAUUCCUAAUUCUCUCGCUUCUAUUCUUCUACAGGAUUCCUUUUCUAUGUUAGUACGCUGUUUUGGGGUUCGACUUGAGUUAUAGGAAAAACGGGAAUUGAGCUUCAAAAUCAUAUAAAAUGUUCAGCGAAUGUUAAAGUCUCAUGGCAUACGGCCUUUUAAUCUUCCACCUACAGUGGCUAAGAGUUAACAAGGGUCCCCCCAGGCCCAAAAAAAUGGCCUUUUAAUCUUGUACCAGCAGUUGCUGAGCAUUAAGAAGGGUCCCCGAGGCCCGUAAAAUCAAUCCCAGUGAUGCAUAAAGUACAAUCUUAAUUGUUUUGAUGAUCCGUAGGGACCUUCACGCAUGCAGGACACGAGCCUCUCGGGUUUCCAACAAUAAUUAAACAAACAAAUCUUCCAAUAUAUAAAGGGGUUAGUCAAGACUUAAGAAAUUGGGGGUCUUUUUCCUACCAGAAAAAAAUUUAAGAAUUGGAACCACGUUAUCUCAUACAGUAAAAAUGAAUGUUAAAAAAAAUUCAUGUGAUCAAAAGAAGUCUCUUUCGAAGAAAAGCACUAAUAUUUGUCACAUUAAAGAGAGCACUAAUAUUUGUCAAAAGUAGUUGAUCUAAAGCAUUUUUCACAUUUUUAUACUCCAACAAACGCAGCUUAAGAGAACUUGUCAGUAACUUGGAUGUUCUCUUAACUCUCGAGAAGUGCGUCGUCAGCCAUGCAUUUUUUUCCCUUGACUACGAUGAGAGUGUUUGGAUAGAAAAUUAUUUAAAAUAUUAUUUAAAAUUAUAAUUAUAGUAUAUUUUGUGAUGUGAUAUACAUAAAUAAAAAAAUAAUUAAAAAAAAUAUGUUAAAUAUUGUACUUGUGAUAUAAGCAAAUAAUUUUUCCAUGUGAGAGCUAAGAGAAGGAAAAAAAAUGGAGUGAUGUGUGUGUAGUGGAAGUGGCGUGAGUGAGCCAAGAGGCAUGCUGGAAGUUUUUUUUAUUUUUUUUGGGAAAGAGGAGGGUCGAGAGAGGGAAUUGAGAGGGGAAAAUUGGAGUCUUGUUUUUUUUGUGUGGCUUGAGAGAAAAAGAAGAAGACCAGAGAGAGCCUCGAGUGGUUUUCUUUUUGUUGCGUCUGUCCUCUCUAAAAGAAGAAGCCAGGCCGAGAGAUGGUUGGGAGUGAAGAGUGCUUUUUUUUUUCUCUGUCUUUGUGCCUUGGUCCUCUUGGACAAUAAGAGACCGUGAGAUUGUCCAAAAGAGUCAGUGGAAUUUGGUUGCCAAAAAAUGAUUAUCUUCACCAAAUGACAAGAAGGAUCCAUGAGAUAAUAUGAUGGAUUUUUUACCGGAAUGAGAAGAAAGAUCAAUGAGGAUGGAGUGUAAAAAUGGGUUAAUAGUAGUUUUGGUGAAACAAAAAUGAUUACAGAAAAUUUUUUCCGUAAAUAAGCACAUAGUAUUAAACAAAUAAAGUAGCUGAUCACAGACUAAAGAAACUAAAACCAAACCAGAAUCAAUUAUUCAAGCAGACAUGAAUUCUUGCAAGCCAGAAUGCACACAUAUCAGUACAAUCAAGACACUAAAUUUUCAAAAUCGAUGCAUUUUUCUUUUCAAUACCUUGUUAAGAAGAAGAACGCUUGCCUUCACAUUCAAGACUUUCAUCGAAAUCCUUAGAUGGAAAACUUUUGGUGAUGUAGCCAACCUCAAAGGUCAAAUCCUGACCGUUGGAUCUGAUUCCACUAAUCCGCCACCACCUAAAAAAAGCCCUAACACCAAUUCCAUCAAGCCCAGCAAUACGAUUCUCUACAAUUUUACCAGUGACUUUUUUGGAGUAG